UCCUGGCUCAGAUUGAACGCUGGCGGCAUGCCUUACACAUGCAAGUCGAACGGCAGCGGACCUUCGGGUGCCGGCGAGUGGCGAACGGGUGAGUAAUAUAUCGGAACGUACUUUCAGUGGGGGAUAACGUAGCGAAAGUUACGCUAAUACCGCAUAUUCUGUGAGCAGGAAAGCAGGGGGAUCGCAAGACCUUGCGCUGAUUGAGCGGCCGAUAUCAGAUUAGCUAGUUGGUGAGGUAAAGGCUCACCAAGGCGACGAUCUGUAGCGGGUCUGAGAGGAUGAUCCGCCACACUGGAACUGAGACACGGUCCAGACUCCUACGGGAGGCAGCAGUGGGGAAUUUUGGACAAUGGGCGCAAGCCUGAUCCAGCCAUGCCGCGUGAGUGAAGAAGGCCUUCGGGUUGUAAAGCUCUUUCGGCCGGGAAGAAAUCGCACAGGUUAAUACCCUGUGUGGAUGACGGUACCGGAAUAAGAAGCACCGGCUAACUACGUG
rnacentral:rRNA from 1 species